AGGUUUUCUUGAGUUUUUAGAGUUAUGUGGUAGAGUUUUCUUGAGCUUUUAGAGUUGAUGUGGUAAAGGUUUUCGUGAGUCUCUAGAGUUAAUGUGGUGAAGGUUUUCUUGAGUUUCUAGAGUUAAUGUGGUAAAGUUUUCUUGAGUUUCUAGAGUUAAUGUGGUAAAGGUUUUCUUGAGUUUCUAGAGUUAAUGUGGUAAAGGUUUUCUGAGUUUCUAGAGUUAAUGUGGUAAAGGUUUUCUUGAGUUUCUAGAGUUAAUGUGGUAAAGUUUUCUUGAGUUUCUAGAGUUAAUGUGGUAAAGUUUAUUUGAGUCUCUAGAGUUAAUGUGGUAAAGUUUUCUUGAGUUUCUAGAGUUAAUGUGGUGAAAUUGUUCUUGAGUUUCUAGAGUUAAUGUGGUAAAGUUUUUAGAGCUAAUGUGGUAAAGGUUUUCAUGAGUUCCUGAGUUGAUGUGGUAAAGUUUUCUUGAGUUUCUAGAGUAAUGUGGUAAAGUUUUUUGUUUCUAGAGUCAAUGUGGCAAAGAUUUUUUGAGUUAAUAUGGUAAGUAAUUGGAGUC